rnacentral:rRNA from 1 species
UACAGAGGGUGCAAGCGUUAAUCGGAAUUACUGGGCGUAAAGCGUGCGCAGGCGGUUAUGUAAGACAGUUGUGAAAUCCCCGGGCUCAACCUGGGAAUUGCAUCUGUGACUGCAUAGCUAGAGUACGGUAGAGGGGGAUGGAAUUCCGCGUGUAGCAGUGAAAUGCGUAGAUAUGCGGAGGAACACCGAUGGCGAAGGCAAUCCCCUGGACCUGUACUGACGCUCAUGCACGAAAGCGUGGGGAGCAAACAGG